AUUGAACGCUGGCGGCAGGCCUAACACAUGCAAGUCGAGCGGACGAAGUGAGCUUGCGCCUGGAUUCAGCGGCGGACGGGUGAGUAAUCCCUAGGAAUCUGCCUGGUAGUGGGGGAUAACGUCCGGAAACGGGCGCUAAUACCGCAUACGAUCUGAGUUCGAUAGUGGGGGAUCUUCGGACCUCACGCUAUCAGAUGAGCCUAGGUCGGAUUAGCUAGUUGGUGGGUUAAAGGCCUACCAAGGCGACGAUCCGUAACUGGUCUGAGAGGAUGAUCAGUCACCCUGGAACUGAGACACGGUCCAGACUCCUACGGGAGGCAGCAGUGGGGAAUAUUGGACAAUGCGCGAAAGCCUGAUCCAGUCAUGCCGCGUGUGUCAAGAAGGUCUUCGGAUUGUAAAGCACUUUAAGUUGGGAGGACGCGCAGUAAGCUAAUACCUUGCUGUUUUGACGUUACCAACAGAAUAAGCUCCGGCUAACUUCGUG
rnacentral:rRNA from 1 species